UUUUUUUUUCUUUUUUUUUUUCCCGUUUCAUUUUACUUUUUCCCUUAUUGUAUUAAUGUUGUUGUUUUAUACUGUGAUAUAAGUUAUUGAAAAAUGAGAAGUGGAUGGUGUCUACUUUAGUUUCCAAUGCUUAAUCGUCAAUAAAUAUUUUGGUGUCUUGAAAAUUGUAACCGUGAUUAUUGAGAACAGAGAAUAGUUCACAUUAUUCUUUUGAGGAAAAAGCGUGUUUGGUGCAGAUAGUGAAAGACAACUUUUGUAUUUUUAAUGGUAGAAAGAGUAAAGAUGAUGCAGAAAAUUUUUGUUUCAGAAUGCAUCUACAAAAUCAAAUGUCCUAAAACUUAUAUUGGAACCUGUAAGCUUCAAAACUUAUUUUUACCAUUCUCUUUCUUGGAUCUGCUUAAAUAGAAAGCACAAGAAAGUGGGGCUUUUGAAAAUUUCUUUUUAAUCUUGAAAAAUUUAAAUAAAAUCCAUAUCCAAAGUCUUAUCUCAAACUCUAAACCAAAAUCAUGACUGGCGGCUAUAGGUCAUUUUCCUGAAAUUCUCAACUUGACAUUGUCUGACUAUCAAACUUAAGGUCAUUCUGCUUGCUAUGUGUUUCUUUCUCUCCAUUUGUUUGCCUGAGAAUGACAAAUUUUACUGUUUUGGUCAAAUUCUUUUAUCAAAUUUCUUGGAAAGGCAAUUUGAUAUAUAGAAAUUUGCAUUGGUAGGAUACAAUAUAGAGAAUAUGCUUGUGGUUAUUUCUUAUCAUUCAUCAACUGGAAUGUCUUGGCUUUACUUGUCUUGGUUUUUACCCCCGUCUGUGAUUGCCGUGUAAAAGAAAUUCUUUUCAGAUGAUUGACUCUUGUUCUUUGGCUGAAAUGUGCGCUACUAUAAGGGGGUUGUUUACUGGCAACCAC
rnacentral:misc_RNA from 1 species